AAGUUGCAUCCAAAUUCCCAAGAGCUGAAAGUUGCUGAUGCUGUGAAUUCGGGUUUUAUCGAUAGAUGAAUCACUCGAUUUCAGGAGAUGGCUUCAUAUGUUGCCCUUAGCAUGAUGUGAUUUCUCGGUUCUGCAAUGGCAAAGAGGAGCUGGUUCAAUAUAGUGAAGAGGUUCUUUGUUUCAGAAACACAGUCAAAGCAAAAAAAUAAGGAGAAGAGAAGGAAAUGGAUUUUUGGAAAGCUUAAGUUCAAAAGACUAGCCUCAUUAACUGCACCAUCACCACCAUCACCAUUAAAACAAAGGACAC